rnacentral:rRNA from 1 species
CCCUUAGAUGUUCUGGGCUGCACGCGCGCUACACUGUUCGACGCAGCGAGUCUUAACCUUGACCGAAAGGUUUGGGUAAUCUUCAGCAAAGUCGAACGUGAUGGGGAUCGAUCAUUGCAAUUAUUGAUCGUGAACGAGGAAUUCCUAGUAAGUGCAAGUCAUCAGCUUGCGCUGAUUACGUCCCUGCCCUUUGUACACACCGCCCGUCGCUACUACCGAUUGAAUGGUUUAGUGAGAUCCUCGGAUUGGUCCCGGAGCGGCCUCUGGUCGUGCCGGAGUGCCGAAAAGAAUGUCGAACUUGAUCAUCUAGAGGAAGUAAAAGUCGUAACA